ACUGAGUCAUCAACAAGCUCAAAGAGACUCUCACCAAAAGUUUCACAAGGUCUGGGGACAACUGAUGAAAACCGGCUACCAGAGUUCUCGAUUUGCUCAUCAGGUGGAGAGAUUUGCAUGCCUGUACACAAGCCAAGUCUCAAACAUGCGCUUGUACUCACCAGACAAGUAUUACAGACCCAGUGAAGACUUCAUGUCCCAUGAAUUUCACCUUCUUCCUCUCUGAUUCAUCCC